rnacentral:rRNA from 1 species
UGGGGAAUAUUGGACAAUGGGCGCAAGCCUGAUCCAGCAAUGCCGCGUGUGUGAAGAAGGUCUUCGGAUUGUAAAGCACUUUCGGCGGGGACGAUGAUGACGGUACCCGCAGAAGAAGCCCCGGCUAACUUCGUGCCAGCAGCCGCGGUAAUACGAAGGGGGCUAGCGUUGCUCGGAGUUACUGGGCGUAAAGGGCGCGUAGGCGGCGGUGUCAGUCAGGCGUGAAAUUCCUGGGCUUAACCUGGGGGCUGCGCUUGAUACGGCAUUGCUAGAGGACGGAAGAGGGUCGUGGAAUUCCCAGUGUAGAGGUGAAAUUCGUAGAUAUUGGGAAGAACACCGGUGGCGAAGGCGGCGACCUGGUCCGUUACUGACGCUGAGGCGCGACAGCGUGGGGAGCAAACAGGAUUAGAUACCCUGGUAGUCCACGCCGUAAACGAUGUGCGCUGGAUGUUGGGGCUCUUAGAGCCUCAGUGUCGUAGCUAACGCGGUAAGCGCA